ACAGAAGAGGAAAUGUAAAUGCUGUCAGCAGCUGAGAAAAAGAAACCUAAUGCAGAUCAGAGCUGAGCAGAUGUUGAAGAACCUAGAAAAUUCAGCCACUGCCAGGAACUCAUCUACGUGGGGCCGCUUCAGCACAUAGACCUGGUGGACCACUCCAUCUAUCUCCACCGGGAUGAUGAAGUCCGCAUUGUUCACUGGCUUGAAGGAGCUGUCCAGGUCGAUGACUACGCAGAUCUUGUCUGAGUCCUGGGCCUUGGCCUCGGGAAGCAGCUUUAUUGUCAAAGAUCGAGUGACCAUAGAUCAGUGUAAUGUCCCAAGAGACACCAUCAACAGUUGAAAACAAAUGUUUUGAGGCAAGAUACUGCAUCCUGGAGCAGUGACAAGCAUCUCUUGAGAAUGGAAUUUUGCACCUGAACUAUGAAAGCUUCUUGGGGCCAUUCUUGUAGAUGCCAAACUAGACUGGAGAAGAUCAUGGAGCCUGCAGAGCACUAGAGCCUGUAAAGACUUCUCUGGAUAUCAUAGCCUAUCUUCUUCUCUGAUGUGAUCUUUGUACCCUACCCAUAGCCUACUUUCCAGUCCUAAGUUCUGUCUACAUUUUGAGCAUAGUAAAAAGCUCUGUGCUAUC
rnacentral:lncRNA from 1 species